UACGUAGGGGGCUAGCGUUGUCCGGAAUCAUUGGGCGUAAAGCGCGCGUAGGCUGUCAGUUAAGUCUGGUGUGAAAGUCAAAGGCUCAACCUUUGAAUGCCGCUGGAAACUGGCUGACUUGAGUCCGGAAGGGGCGAGUGGAAUUCCUGGUGUAGCGGUGAAAUGCGCAGAUAUCAGGAGGAACACCAAUGGCGAAGGCAGCUCGCUGGGACGUGACUGACGCUGAGACGCGAAAGCGUGGGGAGCAAACAGG
rnacentral:rRNA from 1 species